rnacentral:rRNA from 1 species
AACGAACGCUGGCGGCAUGCCUAACACAUGCAAGUCGAACGAGACCUUCGGGUCUAGUGGCGCACGGGUGCGUAACGCGUGGGAACCUGCCCUUAGGUUCGGAAUAACUCCCCGAAAGGGGUGCUAAUACCGGAUAAUGUCUUCGGACCAAAGAUUUAUCGCCUUUGGAUGGGCCCGCGUUGGAUUAGCUAGUUGGUAGGGUAAAAGCCUACCAAGGCGACGAUCCAUAGCUGGUCUGAGAGGAUGAUCAGCCACACUGGGACUGAGACACGGCCCAGACUCCUACGGGAGGCAGCAGUGGGGAAUAGUGGAAAAGGGGCGAAAGCAUGAUCCAGCAAUGACGCGUGAGUGAUGAAGGCAUUAGGGUUGUAAAGCGCUUUUAACCGGGAUGAUAAUGACAGUACCGGGAGAAUAAGCUCCGGCUAACUCCGUG